CGCUUCCACUGCAGGGGGCGUGGGUUCAAUCCCUGGUUGGGAACCAAGAUCCCACAUGCCGUGCGGCGUGGCCAAAAAGUUAAAAAAACAAAACAAGUCAUAGGAUGAAAAAGAAAAUAUACACAGAUUAGUGAAAAUGUACAGAAUGUUGAUUUUCUGUUUCAGAGAAGUUACCUCCUAGCAACGGAAGCAACAGAACGAGUGGAGAAGAUUAACAGCUAUGAUUGUAUACAACUAUUCAGAACGUCUUCACGGCAAACGGAUAAAACUAAAACCCAAGACCAGCGACCUAGGAAGAGUCAUGGCAACGAUACACUGGAAAGUGACCUCUUUGUCAUGUUAAUAAUACUUUAGCUGGGUAUUUUAUAUCGGGAAAGGACUCACUCGAGGAAUUCACGUGAAAAGUAAUGUAGCCGGUAAAACACAAAGUGAACAAAGCGUGGCCUCAUCAGCAAUCGACGAAAGCAGGUUGGAGGGAUCAUGGGCUGCCAGCACUUCGUUUACCCAGGACACCAGGAAGGCUGCGGAAGAGCAGCACCUGACACAGGUGCAACUUGCAUCCAGUAAAACCCGUGCUUUGGGGCAUGCAGUCGAUGAGCACUUAGAAACGCAUACAGUCCUGGAGCCAAUACCAAUUGUGAGUAAAGCCGUGGUGAACAUUCACGUCCAGGUUUUUGUGGGAGCCUAAGUUUCUGUUUCGCCCCGGGGAAAUGCCUGGGCACGGGAUUUCCGGCUCCUAGGAUAGCCGUAUGUUUAACUUUACAGGUUAAACAUUUUUAAACAGUUUCCAAAGUCACUGCGCUGUUUUGUAUUUUGAAAUAAUCACAGACUGACAGGCAGUUGCAAAAACUGUACAGGGUGCCAUGCUCCCUUUCCCCCGAUUCCCCCAAUGGUGACAUCUUAUGUGACUGUGGGACAAUAUCAAACUGGGACACUGCUGAUGGCCCAGUGCUCACCGGGCUCAGGUUCUACCAGCCCUCCCACGACUCAUAUGUGUGCAGACGGGACGUUUGUCACCACUCACCCUUCCAGGAAGGUCUGGUCUAAACGUUGCCUGUGCUGGCCGCUAUCCCUGACUGAGAUCCAAGUCCCUUUCUCCUGCAUCACCCAGCCAGGACACCUGCCUGCAGACCUGCCCCCACGCCACCAUGACCACCCCCAUUGACAUCUGUGGCUGGACCAUUCUCUGGGGCGCCGUCCUGAGCACUGUAGGGGUUUGAGCAGCAUCCCCGGCCCCCACCCACUCAAUGUCAGGAGCUCCCCCAGUUGUGACAGCCACAGAUGGUCCCCAGACAUCACCCAGCAUCCCCAGGGGGCAGAAUCUAAGGCUUUUGUGGAACUCUCUUAUCAGAAGAAACCCAGCAGCUAAAAGAGGUUCAUUUAGGCAAAAUGCAAACAGUUUUUUGGAAUUGAAAUGGUCCAGUUUGAAGUGAAAUGGUACUGAAUGGAACAGAAGUUUGUUUCAAAGAGGGUUUAAAUUUCUUAGCAUCUGAGAAUUCCCUGGUGGUCCAGUGGUUAGAACUCUGUGCUCUCACUACUGAGGGGGCGGGUUCAAUCCCUGGUCAAGGAACUAAGAUCCCACAAGCUGCCUGGCCUGGCCAGAAAAAAAAAAAAA